rnacentral:rRNA from 1 species
GACGAACGCUGGCGGCGUGCUUAACACAUGCAAGUCGAACGGAAAGGCCCUGCUUUUGUUUGGUUCUCGAUUGGCGAACGGGUGAGUAACACGUGAGUAACCUGCCCUUGACUUUGGGAUAACUUCAGGAAACUGGGGCUAAUACCGGAUAGGAGCUCCUGCUGCAUGGUGGGGGUUGGAAGAUUUCGGCGGUUGUGUAUGGACUCGCGGCUUAUCAGCUUGUUUGUGGGGUAGUGGCUUACCAAGGCUUUGACGGGUAGCCGGCCUGAGAGGGUGACCGGCCACAUUGGGCCUGCGAUACGGAGCAGACUCCUACGGGAGGCAGCAGUGGGGAAUAUUGCACAAUGGGCGGAAGCCUGAUGCAGCAACGCUGCGUGCGGGAUGCCGGCCUUCGGGUUGUAAACAGCUUUCGACUGUGACGAAGAGUGAGUGACGGUAAUGGGUAAAGAAGCAACGGCUAACUACGUG